UACGUAGGUGGCAAGCGUUGUCCGGAUUUACUGGGCGUAAAGGGCGUGCAGGCGGUCUGUUAAGUCUAGGGUGAAAGCUCCCGGCUCAACUGGGAGAGGUCCUUGGAUACUGGCGGACUUGAGGGAGGCAGAGGAGUAUGGAAUUCCCGGUGUAGUGGUGAUAUGCGUAGAUAUCGGGAGGAACACCAGUGGCGAAGGCGGUACUCUGGGCCUUACCUGACGCUGAGACGCGAAAGCGUGGUGAGCGAACCGG
rnacentral:rRNA from 1 species